GCCGGGGUGCCCGAGCCUGGUUAAGGGGUGGGACUGGAGAUCCCAUGGGCCGCGAGGCCCGCCCGGGUUCAAAUCCCGGCCCCGGCGCCA
rnacentral:tRNA from 1 species